rnacentral:rRNA from 1 species
UACGGGGGGAGCAAGCGUUGUUCGGAUUUACUGGGCGUAAAGGGCGCGUAGGCGGCCACCGCAAGUCAGUUGUGAAAGCUCUGGGCUUAACCCAGAAAGGUCAGCUGAUACUGCGGGGCUAGAGUGCAGAAGGGGCAACUGGAAUUCUCGGUGUAGCGGUGAAAUGCGUAGAUAUCGAGAGGAACACCUGCGGCGAAGGCGGGUUGCUGGGCUGACACUGACGCUGACAGCGCGAAAGCGUGGGGAGCAAACAGG